AAUCCAUAGGUUAAUGAGGCGAACCGGGGGAACUGAAACAUCUAAGUACCCCGAGGAAAAGAAAUCAACCGAGAUUCCCCCAGUAGCGGCGAGCGAACGGGGAGGAGCCCAGAGCCUGAAUCAGCAUGUGUGUUAGUGGAAGCGUCUGGAAAGGCGCGCGAUACAGGGUGACAGCCCCGUACACAAAAGCGCAUGUGCUGUGAGCUCGAUGAGUAGGGCGGGACACGUGGUAUCCUGUCUGAAUAUGGGGGGACCAUCCUCCAAGGCUAAAUACUCCUGACUGACCGAUAGUGAACCAGUACCGUGAGGGAAAGGCGAAAAGAACCCCGGCGAGGGGAGUGAAAAAGAACCUGAAACCGUGUACGUACAAGCAGUGGGAGCACCCUUUGGGUGUGACUGCGUACCUUUUGUAUAAUGGGUCAGCGACUUAUAUUCUGUAGCAAGGUUAACCGAAUAGGGGAGCCGGAGGGAAACCGAGUCUUAACCGGGCGUUAAGUUGCAGGGUAUAGACCCGAAACCCGGUGAUCUAGCCAUGGGCAGGUUGAAGGUUGGGUAACACUAACUGGAGGACCGAACCGACUAAUGUUGAAAAAUUAGCGGAUGACCUGUGGCUGGGGGUGAAAGGCCAAUCAAACCGGGAGAUAGCUGGUUCUCCCCGAAAGCUAUUUAGGUAGCGCCUCGUGAAUUCAUCUCCGGGGGUAGAGCACUGUUUCGGCUAGGGGGCCAUCCCGGCUUACCAACCCGAUGCAAACUGCGAAUACCGGAGAAUGUUAUCACGGGAGACACACGGCGGGUGCUAACGUCCGUCGUGAAGAGGGAAACAACCCAGACCGCCAGCUAAGGUCCCAAAGUCAUGGUUAAGUGGGAAACGAUGUGGGAAGGCCCAGAC
rnacentral:rRNA from 1 species